AUUGAACGCUGGCGGCAUGCCUUACACAUGCAAGUCGAACGGUAACGGGCCUUCGGGUGCCGACGAGUGGCGAACGGGUGAGUAAUGCAUCGGAACGUACCUUUCAGUGGGGGAUAACGUAGCGAAAGUUACGCUAAUACCGCAUAUUCCGUGAGCAGGAAAGCAGGGGAUCGCAAGACCUUGCGCUGAUUGAGCGGCCGAUGUCAGAUUAGCUAGUUGGUGAGGUAAAGGCUCACCAAGGCGACGAUCUAUAGCGGGUCUGAGAGGAUGAUCCGCCACACUGGGACUGAGACACGGCCCAGACUCCUACGGGAGGCAGCAGUGGGGAAUUUUGGACAAUGGGGGCAACCCUGAUCCAGCCAUGCCGCGUGAGUAAAGAAGGCCUUCGGGUUGUAAAGCUCUUUCGGCCGGGAAGAAAUCGCACGGGCUAAUACCCUGUGUGGAUGACGGUACCGGAAUAAGAAGCACCGGCUAACUACGUGCCAGCCGCCGCGGUAACAC
rnacentral:rRNA from 1 species